AAAAAUGCGAUGAAAAGAAGGAGUAUUUUUGCUGAUUUCUAAUUUAGAGAGGAAACCCUUUGGCUGAAAGGUUUCUAGAUAAGCAAAAAGAAAGCAGUCUUGGAGUUUUAGGAUCGAAAUAUAGUAGAUCUUAACGGUUAGCAGCCGUUAUUUGCAAGAGGGAUUGAUUUUGAUGAAAUCAGUAAUAAGGGUGGUACCGCGAGAAAUGACUUCUCGUCCCUAUU
rnacentral:ncRNA from 1 species